AUACGGAGGAUCCGAGCGUUAUCCGGAUUUAUUGGGUUUAAAGGGUGCGCAGGCGGGAGAUUAAGUCGGCGGUGAAAUUUUGCAGCUCCACUGUAAAAGGGGCUUCGAAAAUGGUUUUCUUGAGUGUAGAUGAAGUAGGCGGAAUUUUUUGUGUUACGGUGAAAUGCCUUGAUUUCCCGAGGAACGCCGAUUGCGCAGGCAGCUUACUAAACUACUACUGACGCUCAGGCACGAAGGCGUGGGGAUCAAACAGGAUUAGAUACCCUGGUAGUCCACGCAGUAAACGAUGAUUACUAGCUGUUUGCGAUACAAUGUAAGCGGCUGAGCGAAAGCGUUAAGUAAUCCACCUGGGGAGUACGUUCGCAAGAAUGAAACUCAAAGGAAUUGACGGGG
rnacentral:rRNA from 1 species